rnacentral:snRNA from 1 species
GUACUCACUACAGCAGCACAUAUACCAAAUUUGGAACGAUGCAAAGAUUACCAUGGCCCUUGCCCAAGGAUGACAUGCAAAUUCAUGAAGUGUUCCAUACUUAC